rnacentral:rRNA from 1 species
AGAGUUUGAUCAUGGCUCAGGACGAACGCUGGCGGCACGCUUAACACAUGCAAGUCGAACGAGCGAUGAGAGCUUGCUCUCAAAGCGAGUGGCGGACGGGUGAGUAACACGUGAGCAACCUGCCUUUAAGAGGGGAAUAACGUUUGGAAACGAACGCUAAUACCGCAUAAUACAGAAGAUUCGCAUGUUUCUUCUGUCAAAGAUUUAUCGCUUAAAGAUGGGCUCGCGUCUGAUUAGCUGGUUGGUGAGGUAACGGCCCACCAAGGCGACGAUCAGUAGCCGUACUGAGAGGUAGAACGGCCACAUUGGGACUGAGACACGGCCCAGACUCCUACGGGAGGCAGCAGUGGGGAAUAUUGCACAAUGGAGGAAACUCUGAUGCAGCGAUGCCGCGUGAGGGAAGAAGGUUUUCGGAUUGUAAACCUCUGUCUUCAGGGACGAAAAUGACGGUACCUGAGGAGGAAGCUCCGGCUAACUACGUGCCAGCAGCCGCGGUAAUACGUAGGGAGCGAGCGUUGUCCGGAAUUACUGGGUGUAAAGGGAGCGUAGGCGGGGCUUUAAGUCAGGUGUGAAAUGUAUGGGCUCAACCCGUAAACUGCACUUGAAACUGAGGCUCUUGAGUGAAGUAGAGGCAGGCGGAAUUCCUAGUGUAGCGGUGAAAUGCGUAGAUAUUAGGAGGAACAUCAGUGGCGAAGGCGGCCUGCUGGGCUUUUACUGACGCUGAGGCUCGAAAGCGUGGGGAGCAAACAGGAUUAGAUACCCUGGUAGUCCACGCUGUAAACGAUGAUUACUAGGUGUGGGGGGACUGACCCCUUCCGUGCCGCAGUUAACACAAUAAGUAAUCCACCUGGGGAGUAC